AAGGCGGGACGGUCUGCCGCGGCAGAAAUGCUGAGGAAAGUCCGGACAGAACAGGGCGCCCUGCUGCGGAAAUCGCAGGUGGGGGUAACCUUACGCACGCCGUAACAGAAAACUACCGCCAGGCUUGCCUGGUAAGGGUGAAAACGCGAGGCAAGAGCUCACGACGCAUUGUAGCGAUAUAAUGCGGGUACGGCACCAGGGUCUGCAAGACCAAAUAUACUGACAGUUGAGGGCGGCCCGCCUGAUGUCAGGGGGUAGGUUGCGAAGAUAAAUGGCAGAAUAAACAGAAACCGGCUUAUGGUUCCGCCUUUUUU
rnacentral:RNase_P_RNA from 1 species